rnacentral:lncRNA from 1 species
GUUGAUAUCUUCAGCUCAAUAUACAUAUAGUCCCACUUCAACUUCCAAAUUUUGCCCUUUGGGAAUGGAAAAACAGAGGGACAAAUUGCUAGGUGAUAUGUUAUUGUUUCUUUAUUUACAUAGGGAAAAGUUUUGCAAUUACAGUUCAGAAAAUAAUUAAAAUCUCAGCCAAGGAUCUUUCUUUUCAACACGGGGGAAAGGUGAUUUAUUUUUUCAGUUCCUUUUUAAGUUGAUGGUUUUAGGAUCCAAUAACUGUAAUUACAACAGUAAAAUUUCAUUUUGUAAUUCAAUUCUGGGAUGUCCUUAGCUAGAAAUACACAUGAUGACUAGAAAAAUGUAACACUUAUCAGGUAAAAUUAUCCAGAUAUUUUUUAAAAGGCCAAACAUAAAUCCAUAACAAUCCUGGCAUUGAGCUAAGCUUAAAUGAUAGUUAGGUUAUGGUGCGUAUAUGUCACUCUCUUGUAAGGAAACAAAGGUGUUCUUAUAUUUAUCUGAAUCUGUCUCCUUCAACCACCUUUUCCAUCUUCAUUCAAGCCAAUUAUAAAAAUAAGGCAAUUAUUGAGCCCAAUAUUCACUGAUAGCCAAGCAGGAAGCUUUUUGGGUGUGAACCAGCUUUUGGGGAUGACUCAUUGGAAGCCAAAUGUUUAUAUGGAAAUUUCUCCCUAAAAUGGUACAAAAGCAAAUAUUUAUAAACAUGUUAAAAAAGCAUUGUGGAACUCUUGGGAGGAGGGGCGAAAAUACUGCCACCCAUUCCUAAUUACACCAUUUUGAUAAAAAUUGCUUUGCUACCUACCAUGGAGGCUGGCCCAGGCCUUAAGCCUUUCAGUAACAGGGUUGCUAUAUAGUUGUGAGUCAACUGUCCCGACUCACAAUAUGUCUUAUUUAGAAAUGUGACUCUGUUUGGAUAAUCUCAACCCAAUUUGUAUUUUGAAUGCAUUGAAAAUUCAUGUGCUACUUGUGAAAAUUUUGAGUUUCCUAUAGGUAGCUUUCUCAAUUGCAAUCUAUACAAAUAGAGGUCACAAGAAAGGUGGUUAAAAAUGGAAAUUUGUUUCUUACUGAGCAAUUUUACCCCAAAUGGUGUAGGCAUUUUAUUUAAAUUCUGCACCAUGAUGUUGACUAUUGUUUUAAAUGCUCUUUUUUUACCCCUCAUUCUGACAGAAAUUUUUGGCAUUUACCAGGUUCCUGCUUAGACUGACCAGGCCCUAGAUCCCAUGACUAAGGAGAUGGGGCCUAUGGAAAGUUAGCUCCUGUUACAAGCUGUCUUGGCAGUCAAGGUGAUGGUGGGUGGAAGGCGGGUGUUUUUCUAUCUGGUCCUGAAUUGAAAAGGGACCAGGGGAUCAGGAGGUGAUCCAGACAAGCUUAACCAAGCUGCCUGCCCUUAUGAUCCCUAUUAGGGUUCCUAGGUUUGUUGGCAUAUUUUAAAAAGAAUACUGAGCCAGCCAGGUGUUGAUGAUUGAACUCGUUGAGCUAAUAAACACCAGAACUUUUUUAGAAUUUUGUCUUGCAUCCAAGAAAUCAAUGGAAAGUACUUAGAACAGGGACCCAAAAAGAUGCAAAUACUAAGGCUAGUAUCAAGAAGAGAUAAUUUCAUUUUGAUUUCCAUACUUGGGACUGGUGUUAUCUAUUUCUAUAACAAAAACAUCCUGACCAGAUAAGUAUAUGGUAUGGACUAUAUUUAUAGAUAUAGCUCCUGCUUCCUUUAGCCAAGAUCACAAGAAAACAAGUUCUCUAGAUAAAUAAAUUUCCUAGAUUGCUGGAUCUUCCUGUUAACUACCAAAACAUUAAAAAAACAAAACAACAACAACAACAAAAACAGAAAAUGGAAGGGUCUCUGUCAAGUAUGAUUAAAGGGAGAGGGCCAGAUAAGUGAAAUUUAUACUUCUCUGUUUUAAUUCUUUUUUAUAAGGAAUGAAUUUUAAAAUAACUAAUAUGUACUAUUUUUAAAAAUUCACUUGAAAAUAUCUCUAUAUAAAUAAAUGAGUUAUGUACUUCUGAUCUCUCAAACUGAGCCAAAAUGAGUUUUCUUUUGAUGGUUCAUUAUCAUCAUUAUAAAACUCAAUUCUUCUCUCUGCCACAAAACAAUGAUACCCUCAAGUAGUCCUAUAGUGUUCUAAAUGGUUCAUUCCUACACUAAAUGUCCUCAGAGUUUUAAUUUACUCCUCACAAAUUUUCUGUAGUCUGCUUUGAUAUGAGAUUGUCAGCUGUCAUUUCACACUGACAGAAUUCCACCUAUCUUUAACAGCCUCUCAUUCAAAUUUGUUGUUUUAACUUGAUGCUGCCAAUCAGCUGACUGGUUGGUAAGUCACACAAAACUUUGUUAAUAGUCUACAUAAAAUAAAGUUAAAUGGGCAUAGUGUGAAUGCCCAAGGAUCAUUUCUAUGAGCAAUGCAUAUUUUUAAGAAAAGCUUUAGCACAUUUCUUUGGAGGUUUUAAUCUCAUCCUUUCUACUUAUAUCUCAGCUAUGUUUCAGACAGUGGGUGCCACUGGAUAAGAGUUAUGUGUAAGUUAAAUGAGGCUCUGCUGUCAUUUAAUAAAAUGAGUUGCAUCAUUUCUUCCUUCCCUCGUGAAAUUGCUCAGUGGUGGUACAGAUGGAUACCUGUAUAGGAGUACAAAAUUUGCCACCAUAAAAUAUCUCUGGCAUAAGGAUUAUUUCAAGCUGAAAACAAUCAAGGCCCAAAAGACUCAGGAAGAAACUCUGAUCUGCUCCCUAACUGUCUGAAGAAUUUAGGUAGAGGACCUGUUGUAGGAACAGAGCUAUUAUUAGAGGUAUCUGCAAAGAAUAUGGGCUGGGUCCAGCGGAAGGAACUCAAAGAGAUCAGACUUUAUUCUGCAUGGCCCAGCAAACAUUUAUUUGCCAAACAUUUGCUUUUCCAGCUCCAUGUGAGAUGCCUUUCUCCCCUCUGAAGUCACAAACCACUUGUGACUCUCUCUUUUGGGCACUCUCUUUUUUCUAGAAUAAUACUUAGAAAUAAUUACCAGCAUUUGGAUAACCAAGGAUUCAUUUAUAGUAAAUGUUCUCAGGUGUGAUAAAUAUAUAUUUGGUCUUUGUUACUGGUUCCUGACACACAGCUUCUAAAACUCUUAGAAUUUCUUGAAUAGGGUGAUAGGAGAAUCUCUUGUUAUUUAUAAUAAGCCUCUUUCAUUCAUACCUGAAUUGUAUAUGUUAAUGACAUAACUCUUGGUAGGCCUCUAGAUAGCUUCAGGAUGAGGGAUGGUUGUGAGGAAACAACCCUGUGAUUAGAGAGUUAGAAUUUUCAGACCCAUCCCACUGACCUCCAAGAAGAGAGGGACUGGAAUUUAUUUAAAUACCAGUGUUCAAUGAAUUAAUCAUCAUGCCCAUGUAUGAAACUUCCAUAAAAGCCCCUAAAUGUUCAGAUUCAGAGAGGUUUGCUGAUUGGUGAUCACAUCAAGGUGCGAGGAUUAGGUAUGCCUAGAGAGUUCUGUGCCACUCUCCCCACCAUCACGUUAUUCUUUGUCCAAUGCACCUCUUCCAUUUGGCUCUUUCUGAGUUGUAUCUUUUGUAAUAAACAGGUAAUAGUAAGUAAACCAUUUCUGAGUUCUGUGAGCUGUUCUAAUAAAUUACGGAACCUUCAGAGGGGAGGUCACAUGAACCCCAAAUUAUAGCCUAUUGAUCAGAGAAGUACAGGUGGCCUGGGACUUGAGAUUGUUGUCUGUGAAGUGGGGGAAAUCUUAUAGGAAUGAU